AGAAAUGAAGAUAAAGCAAACCGACUGAAAAAUGAUGUCGAGCUCUCGGACUGAUC
rnacentral:snoRNA from 1 species